CUUUGAGCGAUUGAAAGAAUGGAGUAAAUGAAAUUUUUAGCCAAGAUAUAUAAAUAUAGCUAAUGAGAAAGGUUAAAAAAAAAUUGUUUUACCUAUAAGAAAAAAGAACGUGUUUUCAGCCAAAAAAAUAAAAGAAAGAAAUAAAGAGGGCAAAAUCUUCCAAAUGUUUUUCAAGAAACAAGUAAAAAAUUAAAACAUAAAAUCACGAUUUAAAUGUCCAAUCAACUUUUCAUCUCCAUAGCAAAGUCCCAAAUGGUUAUAAUACAACAAACCUCAAAAAUAUCUUUCUUUAUGAGUUUACUUUUACCUUUUUACAAAAGUAGAAAUCAAUAUUUUAUUAAAAUAAAAAGUCUACAUCUAUUAGACUACAUUUGUUGCUUCACUGGCUUUACAUAAUAGUCGGCCCUGCUCGUUGAAUCAUUAAAAUCCUUACCCAAAAAAAUGUUCCAUGACAAAACUUGGGUCAAGGAAAAGAGUGUAAUAAGUUCCUUCAACUUUCUUAAUUUUACCACUUCGAGGCAGCUUGCAAUUAAGAACCUAUUUUCUUCAUAUUUCUGGUCAUGCCCUAUCCUUCAAUGUUCUCGUACAUUUCCUUGUUCGAUAAUGAUUAGUUAAAAAUAAAGGAAUUUUAAAGUUCAAGUAGGAACAUGCGAUCCUCUUUAAACUCAAAGAGGUCAUGUUCCUUGAUCUGGAAGUGAUGUUUUUUUCUCUCUAUCUUUUUCAUUCUAUUCUGUCUCCUUUAUUUUUUUGUGUAGAAAGGAUACCUCAAUCGGUGCCUAUUAUGCCUUCUUUGUUCUUUUCUUUUUUUUUCAAUUUUAUUGACUUCUGCUUACAUCUUACCGCGUAGCUAGACGCGAAUGAGGUUUUGGGUCUAUUUGUAUCUUAUAGAUCAGCCUUUAGAGAGAGAUUCCUCGAUUCAUUUCAGGUGGGGUCGAGGAUGCCACACUCGAUUCAAACAAAAGGGAAUAUUUCACCAUUAAAGAUUAGGCAUCUUGGCCCUAUUCAAAAUUAUAUUUAAUUUUGUGAUUGAUGGAAAGUAAUCAUUCGAUCAAUGUAGGAGAAACCUAGCCAUUAGAAUGAGCCACCACAAUCCUUUUCUAUAAUUAUGUUCUUCAUGGUAUAACUGGGGAUAAUAAGUCCAGUUUUUAGAGAAAUUUCAAUGGUAAGGAUUAGUGUCCCUUAUUUUUUUUUGUAUCAAUGUUCUAUAUUGAGUGAUCGGGGAAGAUACCCUUGAAUAAGAAGGUUUCGAUUGGUGUUUGAGGGUUUUUUUAGCCCAUAAAUCAGUAUUGAUUUCUCAACCACAUCUGAGAAUGUGACUUUCUAUCACAUGUUAUAAGUGAGAAAUAAUACCCAAUUCAUAACAAAUAAACUUAGGAUUAUUAUUCGAUUCUUCUUAAAGGAGGGCUCUUUAUUUUGUUUGGUACUUAUAAGGAAGAUGUCACGGCCUCAGCUUAGUCAUAAGGCUCUUUUAAGGCCUUAUGAUUUGAGUCCAUAAGAUUACAUCAUCAUGGAGGUAACUUUUACAUCUUGAGUCUUAUUAAUUUUACAUGACUUUUUUCUAACAUGAAAAUGAGGAAAAUAAAUUUAUGUCUAAUUUGGUGAUCAUAAUCCUAAUUAUGGUUGCACAUAGUUUAUGUAUUUCUAAUUUAGCUCGUCUCUGAAUUAGAAGUUCCAUUUGCAUACGUACACAUAAAAAUUCAUAAUUUAUAAGGUGUUUUUGACCCACUUAACUUUUUAUUAUUUUCACUAAUGGGAAAAAUUAUGUAUACAAUACUAGAAU
rnacentral:lncRNA from 1 species